UUUCAAUACAAAAAAUAACUUGAUACAUGUUACCAGAUGAUAAACAAGUUUUUCACGUGAUUUAAAACACUGUCUCUAUUAAAUCGUUGUAUAAUGGAUUUAGUCAUGCGAAUGAUCUUGCGUGAGGAGUUUGCCAAAUCUUGAUUUCAAAGACAUGACUUUUGCCGCACGCCGAUCACGCAGAAGUAGAGACGCCGGUCAUGGGAGCAUCCUUAGUUAGACACAGCACAAUUGAUGCGGAUACCUGGAGGCGAGCUUGGGCGAUCACUUAUGUAUUUCAUCAACUGAUGUGGUCAAGCGUGGUGUCCUAUUCCGUUAUUAUCUCUAGAUUUUUACAAUACUUUACUUUUAUUGUUUGUGAUAUUUGCUACUAGAUACAAAUCACACCAUAAGCCUCAUAUAUAUCAUGUUGGAGCCUUAUGCCAUUGUUGGCCUAACUAGGCGAUGCUUCACAUCUUCUAAUUUUAUGCAUGUUGCACCAUUACAAAAUUUCAGCAAACAUUUUUUAUUAGUUGAUUUUAAUUCUAUUAGUUUGUCAAUUGCGAUCCUAUUAAUAUAUUGACUCAAAAUUAAAUUAAUAUAAACAUGUGUACCUCUUAACAAGUAACACAUGGGUGAAGGAGAAACCACCAAGCUUGGUGAUGGUCACACUGCACUAAAAAUGAGACUCCCAUGGAGGCAAUGCCACUUGCAGCAGCGACAUGGAUCAGAAUAAUUGUAUUAUUCAUGAUGAGUCCUCAUUAUCACCGUCAACAAAAACGCCAUGUGGAUUGAAUUUGAGGCCUAGAAUGGUGCUCAUUAAGAAGUACAAUCAAGAGAAUUUGUUUGUCUAAAUGAAAACAAAAGACUUUGUUUGUGUUUUUUUUUUUAAAUUAGUGGAUGAUCUCUCAAUUUUGGGAUCAGGGUAUUUAGAUGAGACAUUUUAGGUUUUGCUGGAAGUGAUUUUCCUUAAUUCCCUAUAUGGAGAUGUCGUAGUGGAAAAGAUUGAUUCUUCCCUGAAUCGUGUAAAGGGGGGAGGGGG